rnacentral:rRNA from 1 species
GAGCCCGCACAAGCAGUGGAGUAUGUGGUUUAAUUCGACGCAACGCGAAGAACCUUACCAGGUCUUGACAUCCAAGGAAUCCGGCGUAAUGGCUGGAGUGCCCUUCGGGGAGCCUUGAGACAGGUGGUGCAUGGUUGUCGUCAGCUCGUGUCGUGAGAUGUUGGGUUAAGUCCCGCAACGAGCGCAACCCUUACGGUUAGUUGCUACGAAAGAGCACUCUGGCCGGACUGCCGUUGACAAAACGGAGGAAGGUGGGGACGACGUCAAAUCAUCAUGCCCCUUAAGACCUGGGCUACACACGUACUACAAUGGCGCAAACAAAGGGAAGCAAGACCGCGAGGUGGAGCAAAUCCCAAAAAAGGCGCCCCAGUUCGGAUUGCAGGCUGCAACUCGCCUGCAUGAAGUUGGAAUUGCUAGUAAUCGCGGAUCAGCAUGCCGCGGUGAAUACGUUCCCGGGCUUU